UAGGACAUGGUGUAGUAUGGUAACAUGGAGAUUUUUGAAUUCUUAGGAUUAGGUUUAAUCCCUAUAAUUCUAG
rnacentral:tRNA from 1 species